CUCCGUAAUGUUUCAUGAAAAUUGAUUUUAUUUGUAUGUAUGGACAAAACCCCAUUAACCUUUAAUUCAUUAGCUUUAAAUAGCACCCAAGGAAAUGAAAAGGAGAAAGAUAUAGAGAAAUUGGACUUUUUGAACCCUUAAGCAAAGUGUAUACACCAUAUGACUGUAUGAGACAUGCUCUGACUAGGCUUUUCUCUGAUUUGAGGAGAUAGGGCUUCUCAACGUACGACAAGAGUGAAAAGAAAUCAUCGCUAAUCUGUUACUAAUUUAUUGCAUAAAAGGACAACCAAUUCCAACCAUAGCCUCUAGGACUUACAAUCACAUAUAUCUGUAUAUUUUAAUAUUGACAAGGCAAGAGGAUUGGUGGUUUUAAAAUUUUGAUAAAUUAAACAUUCUGAAAAUUAUAAUUCAUUGUUUACCACAUGCGACAAUAAUUGUUUAUAAAAUUUCAAACAUCACUAUUAAGUAUUAACUACUCAAAUUUGUUUUAAACUACCCACUUUCUAACUUCUCUUAGUCCUCAAGGAAGCUGAGAAUAUUUGCUCUAUGUUUAUGGACUACUUAGAGGUCUUGUGAGAGAACAUUUUCAUUCUUAGGUUAUCUAAUCAUGUAAUAAAAUCUUAUCUAGAUAGACCUUUGGAACAACAAAUUUGGGGUUUGGAUACAUGAUUCUUUUCUACCAUUGAGUUCUGUGUAUUGCAAUAUCUUUAGUUGAGAAAACUUGAAACUUUUUUUAGUUACCCAUGAUGUCUUCUUAGGUUUGUGGUAAAACACAACCCCUGAUGAUUCCAGGAUUUCCCUGACCCAAUUCAUAUUGAAAAUAAGAUUCUUUACUUUCAGUAGAACUAAAAGUUAGUCAACUAAAAUUUUUAAAUAAAAUAAUGAUUAAAAUAUGGAUGGAAGCCUCUAAAAAAUAGAAAAUUCAGUUGAAAGGCUCUUGUUGUGGGAUGUGCCUAAUGAGGUAUGGAUCGAGGUUAUUCCUCUUCAUAACAUACUACUACUAUUUCAAGUUAGAGAGGAUCAUUAAAUGCAGUUCCGUUAGUCCACUAUCUGGAGUAGUGGUUGUUGAUUUGGUGUUUGAGAGGACCCAAUAAUCCCAGCCUUCUUAAUGGAUGGUUGAUGAAGAGGGAGAAAUAUCUGCUCAGUAAAGCUUGGAUGUCUUUUUUGAAUCUACACAAUAGGAGAAUCUCUGGUCUUCUGAUGUCUAACAAAGACCUUGUUAUAAUUUUUAGUUAAAACUUUUGGGGAAAUAACAUUUGUAAUAGGUAAUUCCAUUAGGAAAUAAAAAAAAGAUGAAUCUAGUGCAGGAUGCACUCCCCAAUGCAUGGUUUAGGGAGGAUCAAUGCAUGGAAGCCUUAUUCCUGCAAAUAGAGAGAUUAUUUCUGUGUUUCAAACCCUGAUCACCUAGUUUAACUUGCCCUUGUUUUUAAGAAAGAAAUUGAAAUCCUCAAAACAAAUAUUCUUGUUGUUAGUUACUCUGUCACCAAAGGAACUUUUCCUUGUCAUCUUGAUCAUUGGUAUGGCGACAUCAUUCUUUAAUCAAUAACUCUUUGAGUUACAAGAAUUUGUAGAAGUUUUGAGAACAUAAAGGUGAUGUGGCAUAUCCUUGUGAUCACUAUAUCUUUACUUUUACUAAAGGUGGUCCAUAGUGAUUUUUAUGGAUAUAAACACAAAGUGUAACAAGUUAUUUUUUAUAAUCUAGGGAUGACUAUAUUAUCUUGCUGAUGGAGAAAAAAAUGUUGACUUGAAGAUUCUCUGUAGGACAUAGAGGAAACACAGCAUUAUUGUGACAGAAGAUUAAAAACUCAUUGGUUUGUCUUUUAAUGAUUUAUCGUGGUUUACACCAUUUACCUUAACAAGUUCUAUUCUUGAUUUUUUUGGUAUAAAACAUAAUUACCAAUAAUUCUGGAAAUUUUUUGUUUUCUGUUUGGAAUGAAACCUUUUUGUUUGUAUAGUACAUUUUAAGUCAACUUGAACAAGAUAUGCUUACGGAUCAUUUUUCAGUACUGUUUGGUAUAGCCCAAUAUACUAUUGUAUUAUCGUUAUCAUAUAAUGUAAAACAUUGGUACACUAGAAUGUGAGGAAUCACAAUCAUUUAGCAGUUGCACAUUUGAUGCAUUGUCAUAUUAGCAAAAAAUAGGAAAAGCUAUUUGUCAGGCUGGAAUUUGAAAUAUUAUGAACAACGAAAUAUGGAUGUGCAUUCCUCUACCAUAAGUUUGUAAUGGAUUAUGAUUGAAUAUAAGAUAAUGUUGUUUCUUUUAUUUUUUUGGUUUGUAACAAUAUUUGGAGGAACUGUGGAUGCUUUUCUGCCUUUGAAAUGUCUUAUCCUAUUUUGUCCUGGUAUUCUGAGGCAGUCACCUAUUCUGCAUUUUUAUGGUUAUGUAAUGUGUACAUGUUUAUGGUAUCAUACACCAAAAUUUUGUAGCUAUGUAAUUAAGAAGCCUUCUUUCCUUUUAGCUAUUAUAUUUGUUUAGUAUUGAUAUGUUUCAAAAUCUUUACAUAUCCUAAUAUCUUAUACAUUGUUUAUGUACAAAAGUAUUGUCAUUUGCAUAUGUAAUAAAUCUUCUUGUUGUCUUGAUUUAUUUCUUUUUUGGGCAGGUUUUUGCUGUUAAGAGUGUCCUCCAGAAACCAAUAAGUUUAAUUCAGGGCCCACCUGGUACGGGGAAGACUGUCACAUCUGCAGCAAUUGUAUAUCACAUGGCUAAACAGGGCCAAGGGCAGGUAUCUUAACAAUAAUUAAAAGGUAACAUUUUGGAGGAAGACAUUGUUCAAAAUCAAAUGACAUUUUGUCUAUUCCAGGUUCUAGUAUGUGCUCCAAGCAAUGUUGCUGUUGACCAACUUGCUGAUAAGAUAAGCUCAACUGGGUUGAAGGUGUGUUCUCAGUGAGCCUUUUGUCUUUGCACAAGAUGUUACGGUGUCGAAAGUUUGCCAAAAUGCUUUUUAAUUUCUUAUUUAUCGUUUUCUUAUGAUUUAUACAUUUUCUCUGAUGCUUUUGUUAAAUCUUUCUCUAAAAUUUCAAGAUUUUACCAUGUUUUAUGUUUUUGCCUUAUAAAUUUUGGCCUGACUUCAUCUUUGGAAUGGAUAUUUCUCUUGUGAUUGGCAGUGCAAGUGUUGUAGAUUUUUUGAUGGAUGGAAUUGAACUGACUUAAUUGCAACUUAAAACAGAUCAUGUCAUUUGUGUUGGUUUGAAGUGAAUUUUUCCAACAUAAAAGGUUCUUUUGGCAUUUCUGUGUUCAUGAAGUCAGGUCCAAAUUGCUUGUUAUAGGUGUAUUUUUGUGGUAUUACUGUGUUGAUAUAUAGAUUGCUUGCUGUCUCAGUACCAGUACUGGGCACAUGUUGUGUACAUACUUCUGGAUACUUAUUCGAUGGGUCAUGAAUGCGAAGAAAGUAACCAUUUUAUGAACUGAAAUGACAGUGCAGGUGUGGUAGAUUUUUUGAUGGAUGGAAUUGAAAUGACUUAAUUGUAACUUAAAACAGAUCAUGUCAUUUGUGUUGGUUUGAAGUGAAUUUUGCAAACAUAAAGGUUCUUUUGGUAUUUCUGUGUCCGUGAAGUCAGGUCCAAAUUACUUGUUAUAGGUGUAUAUUUGUGGUAUUACUGUGUUAAUACAUAGAUUGCUUGCUGUAUCAGUACCAGUACUGGGCACAUGUUCUGUACAUACUUCUGGAUACUUAUUCGACGGGUCGUGAAUGUGAAGAAAGUAACCAUUUUGUGAACUAAUUAUUCUAAAAAUGUAUACUUUCUUGGAGAAUAUUGUUUUACUUGAAUAUUGAAUUUUUAAUUGUGUGCAUGUUGUUGAAGUAUGAAAUGUGUUUCUCAACUAGCUUUAUAUAUUUCAUUCAUCAAAUAGAGUUUACUGAUAAUCUUGUUCCUCCCUCCUGUUAUUCAGGUUGUCAGGCUUUGUGCUAAAUCAAGAGAAGCUGUCAUGUCUCCUGUUGAGCAUCUAACACUUCACUAUCAGGUAUAGUUGGAAUAGCCACUCUUUCAAUUACGACUUAUUGCAAGAUUUUCUGGCAUAAAAUUGAUAUCAUAGAACAUUGCAGGUCCGCCAUCUUGAUACAUCUGAAAAGAGUGAACUUCAUAAGCUGCAGCAGUUAAAAGAUGAACAAGGUACAUAUUUUUCACUUCAACAUGAAACACCUAUUAUCUUUGUCUUUUUUUACAUGACUUGUUUUUUUUCCAAUCUAUCCUUUGUAAAAGCAGAGUUUGUUUUAGCAUGUGUCCUACUUCGAUGUGCUUUGUUUUUGUGAUAUCACAAUUAUGAUAUAAUGAAUAGUAGAAUCCCCAUAAAACUCCUGUCUACAUGUUCAAUUGAUUUUAUAGAAUUUCCUGGUCUUCAUAAAUGAAGAAGAAUGCUGGUGAAAUUCAACAACUGUUCUUUUCUUCUUUCUCUUCUGCAUUUUUUCCUGUUGAGUUUAUGAUACUGUCACCUUGUAAAAUGUUUUUUUUUUUGUGGUUUUGUCCAUCAGUAGGGAAAUAGUGCUCUUUUACUUGCAUUCUUAAAGUUUGUGAUUGGUUUUUCAUAAAUCUUGAUUUUGGCUUAUUGUUAUUUGAGUUAAGAAGUUGAACUUUGUGUACGUCUUUUCAGGUGAAUUGUCAAGCAGUGAUGAAAAGAAGUUCAAAGCACUAAAACGGGCUACUGAAAGGGAGAUAUUGCAGAGUGCUGAUGUAAUUUGUUGCACAUGUGUUGGUGCAGGAGACCCCCGGCUUGAAAAUUUCCGAUUCCGCCAGGUAAGGAGAUGCCUUUUGUAUAAUUACUUUAAGGUCUAGAUGGCAACUAGAGCAUUGCUUUUCUGCUAGACUAGAUCCUAAUGAUGAUUGAUUAUUUUUGACAUUACAUAUUUCUUUAGUUUUAAACAUGUGCCUCAAAAUAAAGAAAAAGGACUAUCCAAUUUGUGAGGCUCCUACCAUGCAGGACCUGGGGAAAGAUCAUGAUGUGUUUUAACAUCCUAAUAUUGUGCUGUUCAUAUUUUGUUGUUUCAGGUUCUUGUUGAUGAGUCUACACAGGCAACAGAGCCUGAGUGUCUUAUUCCAUUAGUUUUAGGUGUCAAACAGGUAGCUGGUUUUACAUGCUUUCAUAUGAUGCUUUCAUCAUUAUGUGGUCUGAUUUAUUGAUACUUUAGUCCUUUCUUGAUUAGGUUGUUCUUGUUGGAGAUCAUUGUCAGCUUGGUCCAGUCAUAAUGUGUAAAAAGGCUGCUCGUGCAGGAUUAGCGCAGUCUCUCUUUGAGCGCCUUGUUCUUCUUGGUCAUAAAACUUUUAGAUUGCAGGUGAUUACUGUUUUGGACUUCAUUGUUCCGUAUUAAUGGAAGUAACUUGUCAAAAUUUAUGUUGGUUAAGCAGGCUCUAAAUUUUGAUAUUUUAUGACAUGAUUGCCGCUUACAAGCUUUUGCUGUUUUCAUUAUGUUCCCCUCUUAUAUGGGACAUUUGAUCAAAUUAGCAUCUUUUGCAAUUUCUUGAAAUUAAAUAUUUGAUGACAAAUGGCCAGUAUACCUGUGGAAGCUGUUUCUGCUUGGUAGUCAGUCAUCACACAUUGGUCUCUUAAAAACUGUCAGUGCUAUGGAAAUUGAAUUUUCAGAUUCUCAGUCAUGGUUGUAUCUUGGUACUUUUUUUGUCAUCACACCUUGGAGGGGUCGCUGAUGAGAUCAUUAUAAUGUGAUUUGGAGCAUUCUUUGGCUUGGUUUUGGAAUACUAGUAUUUUUAGCAAAAUUAUGGAGCCCUGAUGUCUCCUUUCAGGGCUACUAAUGUUUCCAAGUCUUGCUGCAAAUUGUUUUAUGUGAUUGAAGAGUUAGUAUGGUAUUCGUCAAGUAGAAAUAUAUGCAGCCUUAUGACUGGCAUCAAAAACUGAUUACUAAAACCAAAAAGGUGGUAGAGAUUGUAUCUUCUUUAUCAUUUUCUGUUUACAUAUCUUUGUGGAUAUCCCUGCGUAUUUUUGUGUGACAUACCUAAAUUACAAGCUCAUUUGUGAUUGCUGAGCAUAUAUGGAAUCGCAGGUCCAGUACAGAAUGCAUCCUUGCUUAUCUGAAUUUCCUUCUAAUAGCUUCUAUGAGGGCACUCUUCAGAAUGGAGUGACAGUUAAUGAGAGGCAAUCAUCUGGCAUUGAUUUUCCUUGGCCGGUUCCAAACCGUCCUAUGUUUUUCUAUGUGCAGGUAUCUUAUGCUCUAACCAAUUCUCUUUUCAUCUUGGAAGAUGUGGAUGAAUAUAUCUAUAUUCUCUUCUCAUGACUCUAUAGUUGUUUUUGCUGUAUUCUGAAAUAUGUAUUUGCCUUUUUAGAUGGGCCAAGAAGAAAUUAGUGCAAGUGGGACCUCUUAUCUCAAUAGAACUGAGGCUGCAAAUGUUGAAAAAAUUGUUACUACUUUUUUAAGAAGUGGUGUCAUACCUAGUCAGGUACUCUCGCUUCAGCUCUUCUGGUCCAUUUUCUAAAUUUAUGUUUGAUCUGCUCUGAUCGGUGGCUGGAUAAUGCAGAUAGGAGUUAUUACACCAUAUGAGGGGCAAAGGGCGUACAUUGUGAGUUAUAUGUCGAGGAAUGGUGCUCUUAGACAGCAGCUUUACAAGGAAAUUGAGGUUGACGCUGAUCUUGGACUGUUGGACACUUCUGCUAUUGUUGGUUUGUCUCUUUAACUAAAAUUUGUUAUUGCAGGUUGCUAGUGUUGACUCCUUUCAGGGUAGAGAGAAAGAUUACAUUAUUCUGUCUUGCGUGAGAAGUAAUGAACAUCAGGUGUGUCUUGCUAUCUCUGUGAUUUUUUGUUCAUGUUUUUCUUGACAGCAGCAUACCUGUAGCUGGCUUUUGGCCUAUGUUAUGCAUUAUGAAAUCAUAAAAUGUUGAUUUAAAAAGACAGAUUACUAACAGGCUUUGAUUCAUAAAGGAAAAAAUGGAUACUGCUGGAGUUACAGUAUUCUAAUACAUAUGUUGAUAGACAAAUAAAGUGAUCUACCUCCGAUUAAAUUUACAUUAUGAAGCCCUGCUAAUUUAGUGUUGCCCAAAAUUUUACUUUGAAAGAUGUUGUUCAUAGUAGAUCUAGAUGAUCAGUAAUUUAAGGUGAAUGACGACCUCCUCGAGUGAAUUUUUGUGUCUUUAGAUUAAAAAGAUGAUGUUGCUUCUGAGGCAUUAGUUGGAUCCAAUGAAUUUGAUUGUAGCUUGACUUUUAAUAUUAAAGUUGAGAUAGCAUCUUUGGUACAAUAAGACGUUGCAUGCUCGGCAUCAUCUGGCCACUAUUAUGAUCAGCAUCUUGGAGUGGUGUCCCUAGUUGGCAUGAUUUUCACAGAAUAAUACAAGUAGUAUGGUUUGCAUUCUAAAUCAUUGAGGGGAUGAGAGUUUCUAUACAAGAACAAAGUUGGAAUCAACUAUGGAUUAAUUAUAUUGACACUGGAAUGCAAUAGGUUAUUAGAUACAAAAGUUGUGUUAAUUGACAGCUUAAUGGAUUUUUAGAGAUUCAUACUUGAAACGGAGGUUGGAUUCAGAUUGAGUAGUCAUGUUAUUGUCAUAAUCAGCUGUGUUGUUGCUUUUUAUUAAGUGUGCCAUACCAUAUACAGUAGUUUGAUAGUUAUUUUGGGCACUUGAAAGUUGAAACACCUUAUUUGUUUAGUUAAGUAUCUAUUUUUUCUUGCACUUUUUGAGCAAGACAUAUUCAAGGUACAUCAUUACAUGCAAUGUGUUAGUUUUUUUUUUUUUUCUUCUCUUUUUUCCAUCUCAUUAAUUUUUUGGAGAUGGUGGGGACAGCAAUUAUACUUUUUAAUCAAUGAUUGUAAAAUUUUAAUUGUGUGGUGCUUUCCUAUUGUUUCUACUUUUCAGGGUAUUGGAUUUCUUAAUGAUCCACGUAGAUUGAAUGUUGCACUAACUCGAGCUCGUUAUGGAAUUGUUAUCCUUGGGAAUCCCAAGGUUCUAAGCAAACAGCCUCUUUGGAAUAGUUUGUUGACACAUUACAAGGUGUUGCUUUUUUGCUUUUAUAUUUUAAUGUUGUUUACACAUUCUUUAUUGCAGGUGUGUAGUACUAUGGCAUGCUAUUUCUUUUUUGACUAUUUGAGUUUGUUUAAACCUUAGUAUUUUGCUAUUUCUUUCUUAUCCAUAUUUUAAGAGUUGCAUAACCAUUCAGUUUCUUGUUUAACCAUUGAAGUAUGAAUUUCUUCAAUAUACUGGUCUUUAAUUUUUUUUAAUCAUGCAAUUUAAAUCAAUGAUUGAAAUUUUGUACCGUACUGGAAUUUCGAGAUAUGUUCGAUAUGGUACUAUACUACUGUAUACCGAUCGGUAUAUUUCGGUAUACUGCUCGGUGUAUAUAUAUAUAUAUAUAUAAGGUAAACCGCUCGGUAUAUCUCUCUUCUCCCCACGCGGGGUGACAUCGUAGAAAAAAAAAAUUUUCGCUGAGGCAUUACCUCUAUUUGCCCCGCGACGCCAAUACUCUUCUCCCCGCGCACGGAUGAGAAGUCGCCGCAGACGAGGAGAGCGGCGCCGAUCUCAGGUUCUCUUUUUUUUCCUAUUUCUUUCUUCCUCUUCUGCCUCUUCUUUCACCUUCUCCCUCGGUCACCGUCGACUCCCUCUUUCUUCUCCCUCAUUCACCGUCAACGAUAACGGCCUCAAUCGAGGCUACUGCUCAGUAGCGGGCGGUUCGUGUACCGGUCUGCUGACGGACCGGUACAUACCACCUAGUACAGACCGGAACAUACCACCUGGUACGGGCGAUAUCAUUCGGUAUUGCAAACCUUGGUUUAAAUGAUAUGGUUAAGACCAAGGUUUCAAGUUUUGCAUACCAGGUAGUAAGGACUUGCUGGUCUGGAUUUGAACUGGGAUGCUGACCAGGGCUUUUCGCUGAUUCAAUUUGGAUAUUAAAGGGGGUAUGGCUUAGGUUUAGCAUGCUCACAGGAUGCAGGCUAGGCGUUUUGUGAUUCCUUUUAUGAGGCGAGUUUUUAGUGCUUGUGGGACAGAUUCUCCUUGCACCGGUGCUCAUAUCGGUGGCCCUCCUUGUAUAUUGGUAUAUCUUUCUUAUUGAUGUUUUAGCAGUUGCAGAAGCGUUCAGUUUCUUGUUUAACUAUUGAGGUAUGAAUUCCUUGCUACAGGGUAUUUAAUUCUUUUUAUUUAUGCUGUAGCAUUCAUUUAAAUGAUAUGGUUAAGACAAGCAUUUCAAAGUUUACCUGGAUCAGUAAGUGCUGAUGAUUAUAUUGUGGUCCAGGCUUCAAUGGGGAUGUGGACCAGGGUGUUUGCUGGUUCGAUUGGGUUUAUUUUGUCUGUGGGGGUGGCACCUAUGGGCUUUAGCACUCAUAGGAUACAAACUAAGCUUUCUGUGAUUUCUUUUUGGGGUUUUAGCUUGCAUAGGAUGCGGAUGCUCACACCGAUAUCAAGUGGACCUGUACCAGUCCACCUAGGGACCAGUACAUGUCCGGUAGUUGAGACUUCGAACUGUGGUUAAUACCAAGGAUUUUAAUUUCUCGUGGUUCAGCAUAAUUAUCAGUCCGACUGUUGACUGGGAUGUGGAUAGCUGAAGUCCGGACUGGCCCAUUAUUUAGAUCUUCUUUUGCUGCCUGUUGCUGCCCACGUGCUCGUGGCCUAUCGUCUCUUCUCCUCCACUGCCUGUUUCUCCUUUUCUUCUUUCUUCUUCCUCUUCUUCUACAACCCCCCUCGCCAGCAGAUUGGUAGUGGAUAUGUUCUGGUGUGUCAUGUGUUGGCAUGCUAGAAUGGACCAGACCUAUGCUGGUUCAGCCAUGGACUGGCACGGGCAUGGGUCUGGUACCUGAAAUUGGAUUCCUUGGUUAGGACCUAUUUUUUGUUUUAUCUUUUAUCUUACUUGUAAGUCAGAUAAAUAUUUGUUUCAUUCUAAUGUUUUGCUUUGUGUGUUCUUUGUGGUCAUUUGACUUGUACACCGUAUCAUAUUUUGAAUUUGUUUUUUCAGGAACUCAAUCUUUGCUUUAGAUGGUGUGGCUUGCUUUUUUUUAUAUUGCCAAUUUAGUCAGACAAGUAUUACUUACGUCCUUAUGUUCAUCAUGUGUGCUAGUCCUUUGUUUGCCCUUUUAGUCAUCAAAUGCUGAUAAGCUGGCUUUCCCUUUAGAUUGAUUGGAUCAGAGGUUUUCCUAAUUGAAUGGAACAUGGUUUUGUGAGGUUUUUUAAAAUGAUGUCCACUAUUUGUUCAUCAUGAAGAACUGUAGUUCAGUUGGUUUACGUUUGAGACUCAGUGAUCUGGUGUGGGAUAAUGAACUUUUUUUUCUGAAAGAAAUUGUUUUCCAGCAACAACUUGUUUGGCCUAAUCUGUAAUUUAUUUAAUCAUGUCUCAAUAGAAGUACAUCCUUUAGUUAUGUGAUUGGUUGAUUACUUCUGGCAGACGCUACAAUAGUUUCCAUUGAUUUCUUUAGGUUUGUAUGUGGGAUAAAGCUAACAUUUAUAAUAUUCAGGUCGUAACUUUUUCCUGAUAAAAUAUUUAUAAUGAAGUUAAAGAGUAAUUGUUUUGACAUAAUUGGGACUGCUAAAAGUUUAUAUCAUUCCGCAUAUUAUGGUUGACUCUGGAAUAUUCAUUUUAUGUCUUUUGAUGGUGUCUUUGACUUUAGCUAUUGUCAUGAUUUGAUUUGGCCUUCUUUCACAAAUAUAUAUGGACAUAACUUAUUCUUGUUUAUUUCAUCAUGUCUAGGAGCAUGAGUGUCUUGUAGAAGGACCACUUAACAAUUUGAAGCAAAGCAUGGUACAGUUUCAGAAGCCAAAAAAGGUAUGCUGUAGUCACACACAAAAAGGAGAGAUGGCAGAGAGAGACUUUUCUACCCAAAUCAAUCUGUACAAAUUUAAUCUUUCUAUUUAAGUCUCUGUACUUUGUACCAUUUGUAUAAUGUGCCUGUGGCUGGUUUUAUGGUCAACAGAUUUACAACAGCAGACUUUUCUAUGGGGGUGGUCCAGCGAUGGUUCAGACUGAUAACUAUGGUCCUGUCAGUUCCUCAAGCCCACUUGCUGAGAAGAGAGGUGGGCGCAUUAAAGGUAUGCUUUUUAACUUGGAUUAUUAUUGAGAUGAAAAUAAGAAGUUUUCUGAUAGUUGACAAGAUUAAAUUUGUUUUAAGCAUAGUUGAGGAAUGGUUCAUGCCUUAGCAAUUGAAGCACCACUUGUAUCUAAUGUUGAUUAAUUUUUCUGGGGAACACCUUUUGUUUAAAAGGAGUUUGUAACUGUUUGGUGUAUGCAUAAAAACCAGGUCAUUCUUAUGUCCCAUUUGGCCCUUCAAAUGGCACACAAAAACCUGGUAUGCAUCCACCGGGAUAUCCUUUGCCCUGUGUCCCUCUUCCGCCAUUUGCUGGAGGUCCUCAUUCUCAGCCAUAUGCAAUUCCAACUCGUGGUGCGGUUCAUGGACCUUUAGGGGCUGUUCCACAGGUCCCACAGCCUGGUAAUAGGGGUUUUGGGGCCGGUCGUGGUAAUGCUGGUGGUCCUAUUGGUGGUCACCUGGCUCAUCAGCAAAAUUCCCAGCAAACUUUGGGUAUUGGGUCUGCUUUCAACUUUCCUCCCUUUGAUGAUUCAAAUAGUCAACCAUCUGUUGGUGCUCCAUCAUCUCAGACUGGAUUAAUGACUCAGGUCUGAAACCUUUACCUAUCCAACAUUGGGUUUGCAUGGGUGAUCAAUUCCAUUGUUUUCUAUCUUCUUUCUUUUUCUCUUCUAGAUGCCAGUUCAAGGUCUCGGUCAAGCAUUUCGUGAUGGACUUUCUGUUGGUGGCAUGUCACAGGUACUUGAUGAUGGUCAUCUAUUAUUUGUUUUGCUUUCUUUGCUGAUGUGUUGGUUUUUUUGUUGAUGUUUAACCUUCUUUGAUUUCAGGACUUUAUUGGUGAUGACUUUAAAAGCCAAGGAUCACAUGUUGCAUAUAAUGUUGCUGAUUUUUCUGCACAGGUUCUUAUGUUAUUAUCCUGCACUUCUUUAUAAUGUAUAGUUGUAUACUAAGUUGUUCAAUGUCUUUGGUUUAGGCAGCAUCAUUUUAAGUUUCGCCUCAGUGAUUCUGAAUAUGGCAGAUAAAUGUAUCUUCGACUUUGAUAUUGUAUUUGUUUUUGGUUGUAGCUUUCAUUUGAAUUUCUUGUAUUUCUUAUCAUCCAUUUUGUUGCUGUCUUUUAUUAAAUUAUUGCAUUUGUCAAAGCCAACUUUGAAUCAUGAUCUAUCAUUUUGAAUCUUGGUAUAUAGGGUUCAUAUUCAAUUGGAAUGGAGAUCCAUGGAGUCUAUCAGUUAUCAUUGAUCAUUGUCUUCCAAUGUGCAUCUGGCCAUUAUAGUUUGUGGAUGAAAAAGGAUAGCGUCAUGUUAGCGGAAAAGGUUGACAUGCAUGUUGAUGUUAAUUGCAUCAAAUUGCAUGUGAUGAUAUACUGGGACUUAUUAUUUUGUUGUGCCUCUUUGUGGUACUUGUCAUUAAAAUCUUUGAACAGAGGUAUUUUAGUUGGAUCUAUUCUGAUAUUUUGAUAUGUAUGCAACUUCAGUACCAUAAGACCAAGACAUGUGCAUGUAGUUGAAGUACGUCAUCAAGAAAUAUUAAACUGGAAAGAUAUAUAUAUAUAUAUAUAUAUAUAUAUAUAUAGAGAGAGAGAGAGAGAGAGAGAGAGAGAGAGAGAGAGAGAGAGAGAGAUGCUGGAGGGGAUGUCACUUGUGUUAUCAAUUGGAUGAUUAAAUUAGAGAUGCAUCUGGCAUGUCAUGGAACCAUGAACAUCUGUUCUGUUUGUAAGGAAGGUUUUACAGGGGGACUAUACCAUCAGGCCAUGUGUAUCAGAGUGUUGCACAAUUUAGGAAGCAAAAUGUACAGAUUCAUUUUUCAUCUGUAAUAUGAAUUCUGAGGUUGGAUGAUUGGUGUUGUUAUAAUCUGAAAAGAAUAAUGCAGAUGUGUUUACAUUAGAGCUAGCAAUCUUUGAGGAUACAUCUACUUUUCGUUGUUGCGAAUAAUGACUAGGAAAAGUAACGAGAUUAUUGCCUUUUCCAUUUUGGUGUUGAUUACACUUGCUUUGCCCUAUUUCUGAGUGUAUGCAGGCUAAUUGAGCUGUUUCCAUUUUUACAUCGACUAUACAUCUUCCGGUUGUUGAAUCUGUGCAAGUCUGCAUGGCAUUUGCUGUAAGACUGCCACCAUUGUGUUUGCAGCACUUGGCAUGGUCUUGUAUUUCAAGGAUACAAUUAGUUGCGGGCCUUCUUUAGUCAAAUUAUCCAUAGUGUUUCACUAUGUUAGUUUUCAUUGUUCCAGCUAAAUGCAACAUAUAUUAAAUUGAAAUUGCCAUGACCUUUCAAAGACUAUUGAAGGUGCAUUCUGUUUUGCUGGUAAACUACUGCAAAUGGGUCAACCUGUGCUGUUGAACAUGCACCACCAAGGCAAUUCUUGUUACUGUUGUAUGUAUUUUCAUAUUAUUUACUGUGCAACUUGGUGGAUUUGAGUAGAUGUCAUUUUCAUCAAUUUCUUCGGGGUUUAUGCCAUAUAUUGCAUUCCCCCAUGGAUGAGAUGCACUGUAUUGCCUGUAUGAAUAAUUGAUUUUUUAUUUUACUUGUGCUACAUCUCAUUUUGCUCACUUGACAGGCUUCUCAAAGUGGAUUUGGUGUUGAUUAUGUCUCCCAAGGUCCUCAUGCUGGUUUCCCAGGGAGUUAUUUAAAUCAGAGUACCCAGCCAGGAUAUUCCCAUUUGGGCACUGGAAACGAUUUUUUGUUUCAGGUUGAUUAGCCUUAAAUUGAUCUUGUAUUUCUGCUCCAAAUGAUUGCAUUCCUUUUAACAUUUUGGCUAAAGCAUGAAACAUUUUAGCAGGAAUACAUGCCGCAUGGAUCACAAGGUUUAUUCACACAAGCAGGAUUCAAUGAUCCAUCACAAGAUGAAUCUUCUCAGAGCCACUUUGGCAUGGGUGGGCCCAGUUCUCUUCAGUCACAGGUUCUAUUAGGAGCUUGUAAUUCAUGCUCGUCAAGAUCUAUCACAUUUCUAACAAUGAAGCUUCUGCAGGCAUUGCUAAACCCUCUGUAUUCACAACCCUUUGCUCAUUAUAAUGCUCAGCCUCAAAAUCUGCAGUCUCCACCACAGCAAAAUCAGGGCUCACCCAAUCAGAAACUUCACUACAAUGGCUGAGCUGCACUGGAUUUAGGAGUGAUGGGUUACAUCCUUUGCACCCAGCUACAGUGGUUGUGCCAAGUCAUGUCUUCUUACAUUGACAGAUAACAGCUCAACCUUCUUUUUUUGGCUUCUCGCAGUCGCAUAUGGUGCACUAGUUUUAAGAUAGGAGUGGUGCAUAUGGAGAUUCGAGAUAGCAAUGGUGCUGAUUGUGCCUGAGGAGAGGAUUUAGCCCAUACUUCCAACUACAUUUAUUUUUUUUCGGAAGGAGUUGACCAUUGGGAGAAAGCAUCUUUUGCUUAUAUGAGGGCUCACAGCAAUUGGUGCCUGCAUAUUGUGAAGAAAGCCAUUCUGACGGUAAGUGAGACAUUGCGCAUACAUGUUCAUAACCAACGCUAAAGGCUCCAUUUUGAAGAAGUGGAGUUUUCCUCCACCCGGAUGGUAUGACGAGCAAGUGUUGCAUUAUGUACAGCAGUGUUCAAAGAUGACUGGCCCGUGCUUGCCAUUUGCAUGGUCAGAUACGGAUCAAACUCACGGCUUGUCCUUUGUUGGAAUUUAAUUAUGAAAUUAGUGCAUAGUGUCAUUGUUACAAGGCUCUGUUACUAAGAAAAACUUGCUUUACUUGAAGUGUGAGUUUGGAGUUUGCUUGAUUUAUAUGAUUUUGAUUUUUAUUCUUGUGGUAAAUUGAUAUUAUAUGGUUUUAAUUUUUUUAAUGAGCACCGGGCUUGCUUCUCUGGCUUUGCUAAGCUUCAAACCUUAAAGGAUUGAACACCAGACGUCAGCUAGCUGCUGGCAGUCAGUUCUUGUGGUGAUGAUUUGAGCUGUUCAUGCAUGAAGCAAUUAGAUUAUAUGCUGGCAGUCAGGGGCUUAAAAGUGUGGCAUCCAAGUUAUGGAACGGGAAAUGUUGGCAUCAUGUGGUGGUUACCUUGUGAGCUGUGGAGGCUGCAGUGGAUGGGAAUUAGUAAAGAAUUUCAAUUCUUAAGCUGAUGAAUACUGAACUCUGAAACAGCCAACAAGGACUGUGCGAGUUCUGCUGAUGCCCAUCGGGUGAAGUUUUGAACGGGAUUGAUGCUUUAAGCCGAGAAGAAGCAGUUCGAGUGUUGGCAAUGAGCAGCAGUAUUCAUUCUUCACUUCCAAGUCCAGUUUUCGGGAGCAAGACAAGGAAGAUACCUGUUUCCCUUAGCGCAAGUGAAAUUACAAGUUUUCAUUUAAGAAUUGAAUCUAGUGUGACUAGUAUAUAAGUCUGUAAAAACACUUCCCUUACUCUCAGGUCUCUCUUUGAGCUCCAUGAGCGCAACAUUAUACGUUGCAUGUUGAAUUACGAGUUUCGCUUUUCUUUUCAGAAUAAAGAUAAUCUUCAAUGACAUGAUUCACUUCAAGUGGAGUUACGAUUGCUUGUUGGGUUGACAGCUUUCAAAACUCAAAAUGAGGGCGUUUAUGAGUUAAGGGAAUUGAGUUCAGUGUUGCGCGUUAGGGAAGCUUCCCGUUGCGCAAAGGCGCUGAUGCUAUUUAUUGUGUCACGGGGCAUUGGGUAGAUAAGGGAGUAGAGUCUCUCGUUUAUUUCGUCUAAUGUUAUUCUUUCUUUUGCACUAUAUGUAUUAUAUUCUUUAGUUGGGGAACAAGCAAUUGGUAUUCCAUAGCUGCUGGGAACUGGUAUUUAAACAGCUAUUGGAACCAGUAUUCCAUAGCUUAUGGAAUUGGUAUUCAAUAAAAGCACUUUGUUUGUGUCGAUUAGUCUGAACGACGACUAUGCUCAGAAUAGGAUAGUAUUUGAAUAGUUAGAAAUAGGGUCUUAGGAGAGCCUAACCCCAGCCUCAUCCUGGUGAUUAGAAGAAACAUCUCUGAUCCUUCACCCUAAUGUGACACCUUCUCUACCAGAAGAGUUGUAUUCUUAACAGGUUCAGUCGACUAGAGAGCGAGAUUGAUUAUUCAUCUUCUGGUAUGGGAAAGUUGUCCCCUGUACUAAUUAAUACUAACCAAACUCUUAGUUUUAUGGUCUUCAAGUCAUCAUUUUACAAUACUUUUAUUUUAGGCUGGUUACCAUUACCUUUUUUACUUAGAAGAAUGAUCCGAGCAAGGGAAAGCGUAGUGAGUGCACCUAAUGCGUCUAUGCAUUUUCCAUUCUUUUUAUUAGAUCAGAUGAUGAAUUCAAUAGAAUCUCCAAUCUCUAGUGGUGGUGGCGCGAUGUCUGCUGUCUGACCCAACCUCAAACUCUUUCUUGCCUACCUAUCUAUCUAGCUAUUUGACUCUUUGGCCCCAAUUAUGUAGGUGGUAUCAUGAUUUUUUGAAGAGAUUGAAUUCCUUGAAACUUUGAUAUUAGCCAAUAGUAAUAGAAAUGAUAAUUAAUAUCUAUAUGAUCCACAAAAAUACAUCGGCCCAUAUAAAUGAAAGCGAUCUUGGUCCAUGGAGUCCUAAUAAAGUAGGAAAUCAGUACACUCACUCUCAUCUCAAUACACUGCUUAUUUAGUAAGGAAAGGCGUGAAAGCCGUCUUUCUUAUCGUUGACCAGUGUUAUGACAAAUCAACUAUUGAAGGUACGUACCCUAUGGCUCUUCUAAUGCAUUGUUUAAGCCCUACAUCUUAGUUGAGCACUGUUGUAUUGCUUGUUGAAUUGAGCAUUCAAAGUGUCGAGUCAACUCAAAUCUUAAUUUCUUCUUUCGAGCACAUAACUUCUCUUACAACUGUAGCCAACUUUUGAACUAAUCCUUCUCAUUCUGAUCUCGGUGCCAACAUAGAUGAAACUUGAAUCGGAAGUGGUCACUUGAAACAACCAUCCGAUCCGGAGCAAAUCCUGUUUUCAUUGAUUUUGAAGUUCAUAAUGUCAUUUCCGAUUUCCGAAUUCUAUUAUCGACACGCUUCUUUGAUUUGUCAGUUCAUAAUGUCAUUUCAAAAUAAAAUCGAAUCUAUCUCUCGUCUUGCUUGUCUCGGUCAGAUUUAGUAGUAUUCGUUGAUGUUAAGUUCAUUGAGUUUGACUUUUCCUCUAAAGAAAUGAAUUAAGUUUGACUUGUAGCCGAGAAUGAAUCAGUUGUUAAUAAUUGGCUAAGGGCAAAAGCACAAGGUGGAGUUCUUGUUUCAUCGACGAGAGAAGAAGCGUGUUAGGCUUCUUGUGCUUGCUUGGAUGCUUUGAUUAGUCAAAAUUAAAUAUGUUAAGUCAUUAUUUUGAUUAGUCAAAAUUAAAAUAAUUAAAUUAAAUGAUAUAAUUAUUAUGAAAAUUAAUUGUAUGAAUAUCAUCAGUCAUAUUUCUAACUUAAUGAUGAGAUAAAUUAGGAAUAUGAAACUCUUGAGGCAUAAUUACAGAUUCAUCAAUUAUGAAUAUAAUCAUAAUUGUAGGUUCAUAAGUUAUGAAUAUAAAUAAGGCUAUGGUCACCGGUUAUAGUAUCAAAUAAAGUUUCUCUUCACCCGUCAAAAGAAAUCUAAAAUUCUUAAGGAUACUCUGUAGAACAAAUCAUCAAUUCAUUUAGAAAAUACUUUGAUGAAUUCAUCAUUUAUGUUACGUGUUAAUAUGUUUUAUAAUUAUUAUAUGAUUUCAUGUAUAUUAUUGUGGAUCUAAUAAGUCUUUAUAAAAAUGUUCUAAAAUUCGUUUUUGCUCUUAUAAAACAUGUUUGAUCCAUAUUUGAUGUGUUAAAGAACCAAACAAAUGAACCAACAAAUCUUGUUUUGUAUUUAUAAACCAUGUUUGAACCAAAAUUCAAUUUUUUGAUAUGUUAAAAAGAUCCAACAUAUUAUGCUUGGGUGCUUAUGUGAGAUCCAAAAUGCAUUUGAACAACCUUUAGAGUAGGAAAGAACAUAGGAUUGCUUCGUCAAGUACAAAAUCAAAGAAUCAGUUGCAAGCGGAGCGAGAAGGAAAGUCGAAGAAUGAUUUUGACUUCGGAUCGAGUUGUUAUGCACUAACAGGAGGAGCAAAGAGAAGAAAGAUCAGAAUCAAGAGAAGAAGGAUGAGAGGCAACAAGCAGCAGGUAAUCCUCAACUAGAGGUCAUGCACUGACUGACUGCUCAAAUAAUUAAGACUUACUCCUCAUAAGCGUUAGUGAGCACUUUGUAUUGCUUCUUCUCCGUUACUCUAAUAGAGAGAGAAUAUUUGAUAGCUAUCUAUCUACCAAACACCUUAAGACUUGACAGUUAGCUCUGCUCUAACUUAAUCUACAGCUGGCUCAACAAGCAAAGGUCAAAGGUCAAAUAGACUACUCAGUGUUACACAUACAUUAAGUAACCAAAGAGCUUAUAUAUACAUACGAUUACACUGAUUGACAUGGUAACUCAAUUCUUAUAGCAAAUUCCUUAGUCACCUUCUUGUAAACAGGUAGUUGAUAAUUUGCUGUUGACUUUAGCACAAAGUCAACUCAUGAAUCUCCUUGUUGUAAAAUGAAAAUAGAACUUGUUUCUUGUUCCGUUUCAACAACUCCCUUACUUACGUCCUUAACUUGCAAGUUACAUCUCGACUACUGACACCCCCAACUCAAUUAUCUUCUUCUCCCAACUCUCCGUGGGGUUGGUUCAAUGGAAGGAAGUUGACAGGGUAGAAUAGACAUGGACGAAUCUGAUAUUUCUCUAUUCCAUCGGUGUCAUCAUAGUUCACCAGCGAUCUUCGGAGACUCGGGUCACGCCGACUUUGGAAUCAACCCCGAUUUGGUACCAUACCUGCACUGCUUCACAUUCCCAAUCAAUCCACAAAACUCCGUUCCGUUGCGAUAACCACGAAACAUAUCCAAAUGAAACAGAAGAAAUAAAGAGAGUAGUAAAUGAAUAAGAACGAUGGUCCGAUCUUGUUCCUCAAGUUUCGGAACAUCUCGGGCUCUCAGAUCUCAGCCGUCCAUUUGGUUAGUGGCGGCGCCGACGGCGUCACUGUAGAUGUGAUAACGGGGAAACCCAAACCAUUCCAUGGAAGCUUAAGUGGCCGCUGGCGAGUGGGGUUAGACGAAAGGGAGGGAACGAAUUGACGACUAUACCCCUGUUACCCACAUGUAGAGAGCAGCCAGGCCGCCACCGCUGUCGUCGUCCUCCUCCUCCUCCGUCUCCCGCCUCGCGGUUCCCUCCGGUUCCGCGGAUUCCCGGCCGCCGCCGUCGUCGUAGAGGUGGCUCCAACGACCGGAGAACCGGAACGAAGACGAUGAGAGCCGGUCCACGUAGUCCAUCAGCCACCCCCUCGACCCUUCGCCUGACGGCCCCGCCGCCACGGGCCCUGAGGCAGCGGAAUCGGCGUCCUGUCGCCUAGGUAUCCGAUGCACUACCGCCUCCACGUCCUCCUCUUCCUCGUUCAUCAUGUGGUCGAACGACGAGCCGAUCGAGUGUGUUUGGUGGCGCGACGACGACGACGACGACUGCGGUGUAGGAAGGGACGGGUUUCUCCGGGAUAAGACGUCUCCCGGGGUCCGACUGCUAGCGCUGCCGAUCUCGACGUCGAAGCUUCGGGACAUGGGGGGGUCCUCGCAGGGCGUGUGCGACGCAACCGAGGGUAGAGGCGGCGGCGGGAGGGUGACUGGUGCGCGGCAGAGAGGGCAUGAAGGGGAUUUCCGGAUCCAGGGCUCGACGCAGCCGGAAUGGAAGGCGUGGCGGCAGGCGGGAAGCAGGCGUAGGUCCUCAUCGGGGCCGAAGGGCCGGAGGCAUACGGCGCAGUCCGGCGAGGAUUUGGGGAGGGCGGCGAGGGAGGAGGAGAGAUUGAAGAUGGGGAGGGAGUCGAUCAGCGCCGACUUCACUGGAUCGGAGCUCGGGUCAGCGGUGGACGUGACAGAGGCGGAGGCAGAGCGUGAGCUGACGAGGAGCGAGGCCGCAGCGACGGAGGAGGAUGAAGAGGAGGAGCGGCGGGAGGAGAAGAGGAGUCGGAGGAUGAGGUGGAUAGACACGGAGGCGACGCAGACGCAGGCGAGGAUGGCGGCGAUGAUGAGGAGGCUCGGGCUGAAGGAUAGGGAGGAGGAGGAGGAAGUGUCAGAUGGGAGGUGGUUGGGCUCCACCGCCAAUGGAAAGGGUUGGAGAAGCAGUGGCGGUGACGGAGAAGGCAAAGAGGGGCCGUAGUCCAUGGCGAAAGUGGGGAGAUAGCCUCUUGGGCUUUGGAAGAUAUGCGUGAAUUGUACGGGAAGCAGCCGCUUCUUUCUCUCUUUAGCUUUGCUUUGUGUUUGCUACUUUGGCUUACGUUGCUUGUCGUCCCCCCUCCUCCUCACCCACCUCUCACUGACUCUUUGGCUACCUCUCUACUUUGCCCGUUUCUUCCCCUCUCAUUGCCGUAUACUUAAAAGUUACUUCAUUAUAAGGAAAAACAAUAAAAUAUUUCAUAUUUUAUCUGAUACUGUAAAUUAGUGACUUUAUUUUUUCUUGAAAGUGCAAAAAAGGGCUAACUUAAGAUAUUAUCGAUAUAUUUUGGAGCUUCACAUUAUCUAAUUCUAAUGUAUGCACGACAUCAGAAUCAAAAUGGAAACAACUUUGUAAUCUAUACAAUAUGUCACAGUUCUAUGUGAGCAAAGUUUAUGGUAACACUCAAAAGAAAGAGAAGGUUGCAGACGCUUGUUGGAGAAUAAAGGAUAAGGAGAAUCACCUGUCAUUACAGCAUCCGUCCAUCACAUGAGAUGCAAAUGACACAUGAAAGUCUCUAAUUGAGAUUGCGUAUCUUUUAAUCAUCUGUCACUGCCACCUUAGUAUGUUUCUGUCCCCAUAUAAAAUUGGCAAUUCCAGCUCUAAAAACUUACUUUUUCAUGGAUCAAACUUAAUUAUAUUGCAGCGGAAUGAGCAAAUGUUUAUGAUAGUUUAUUUCUUUGUCAAAUUCCUUCCAAUCUUGUUUCAAUCAAGCAGUACCAAUCAUGAACAUCCAUACUUGUUCUUAUUCUAAUUGCAGUAUUUCCUUCUCUUUUUUAGAUUUUGGAAAUAGAUUUUGACCAAGCUUGAGAUUGACUAAAUGAAAAUAAAAAACUUCAACCUACACGUGAAAGAGAAUGGAUGAAAAUGAAAAAGGAUUAAUUCUCCUAUCAUUGGAUUCCAAAUCUUACAAACAGUAACACCUGCCUAAAGCCUGCAAUGUACACAAUCCAAUGGUCGUAAGCUACAAUGACCAGUGAGUUCCGCCACAGUACUACUCCAUCCCCUUGCUUCUUGACCGUCAACUUCCUUGUAAUAGGAUCAAGUGAAAGCACAGUGAUAUGAAUUCCACUGAUAUCUCUACAUCAUCUGCAAGUUGGCAGUCAUAAACAUACUCAGCAACUGUCCAAAGGUCUCUGUGGAUGAAGCAUGGAUAGGGAUGUAUGAGUAGAAAAAACCAACUGCCUUGUUCCCUCGUCUGAGGGGUGAUCUCUUUGUCACUGGGCCAUGGUUGCUUUGUCUGCUGCACUGGCUUGCCAUGUUUUAUCAGGAAGAGCCCAAGGGUUCCACUGCCAACCUGCACUGUUAGCAUCAGCAACUCCUCAGAAAUCCUAAACCAGCAGUGCAUGUUACAUGCAUCCUUGCAAGGUUAAAGAGAUGAUCCUGUUAGCUAUUACAUCUCUGUAAGUCUUCAUCGACACGUUUUGUAGCUGCUUAUACCUUCUGUCCUUUUUAGAGGAUGCUGUUCUGAAAUGUAGGGUAUGGGCGUCCAUGUACACUGUUUCAGCUGCUGCAUGAGUUUGUUUGUGUUGGAGUCCUACCUAUGGCUUCCACUGUGUUGUCCCUUGUCAGACCAAGGCAAUUCUUGCCUGAGGAAGGAUGAGUCUGUAGGCUUAAGGCAUCAAAAUACCAGCUAAUUAAAAUGGUAAAGCUCAAUCCCAAAGGUAAGCUUGAAUUAACUGUUAUGAUUUCUGUACUCACAGUAGCACAAUGGUUUCCAAGAUUAAACACAUAUUUUCUCUUGUACUGCAUCAAUGGAUGGGAAGACGUUUGCCAGCCAGAGUGAAGCAAUCACUGUUGGGAAAAUAGUGUAAAAACUAAAAUAAUAAAACCAAAGAUCAAACCAACUGAAAUAAUAACACCAAGACAUAACGUUAUAAUAAAAUUCUUAAUUGGUUAAAGAGAAAUAAUAUCCACCGACCAACAAAGGGAAAUAAGAUCUUAUCUCUUGUAGUAAGAGCCAAAAAACACUCACAAAAGGGGAAAAACUAAGGAGGAACCAAAUGAUAUGAUCUUUCUUUCUCUCUAUUCCUCUCUGCACUAAAUGGAUUGGAUUGAGUUCCCCCUCUACACAUCGGUGCCUUGUUUACGUACUAGAGGGGAGAGUACUCCUACAUACACAUGUUUGCUCUAAAGAUCAUAUCAGUGAGGAUGUUGCAACUUCCCACAUCGCGUCCACGCAUGGAAGGUUGCAACCUGCCCUCGUCCCCGCGGGUGAAACUAUCCAAUCGCACGGACAUGGUUGUAAUUGCCUCCUCAUCCUUUUUAUUUUAUUUCUUCAUAAUCUCUCACUAGACCACAAGAGAAUAUGGUCCACGUGAAUUUGUCUUAUAAUAUUUAUUUGUUUUGUCAUAACAUUCAUUAGGUUGUCCAUUGUGUUGAUCUUCUGCAUAUCCAUGGUUUACUGUCCGUCGUUACUUCUCGAAUAAAAUAAUAUUGACCUUCUAUAUGUUUUAUCAUAGAAUGGAAAGCUAGAUUUCUCUGACUUUUAUAAUAGAAGGAAAUAUCCUUCUAUUUAUACCCGAAUUUUUUCUAUUAACCUUCUAAUCCAUAUCACCUCCUUAGCAUACUUGUGUAGCUGCUAUAUUUUAUACUUUUGUGGUAGAUAGAGCUAUCACAAUCCGUAAUUUUGAAACUUAGCUCACUGCUCCUCCUACAAGUGUAAACACAUAGCAGGGAGAGAGAUAUAUUAAUCAAUAAAUUCUUUUAUUUUUAUUUUUUUUAAUUAUUAAGAACUAUUCAUUUAUAUGGUAUAUGCUGCAUGGACCAAUACGUAGGCAUGCCUUUUUUUUAAUAUUUGCCUAAAAUAUUGUAAGUCUUUGAUUCAGAUUUCAUGACAAAAAAAAAAAAAAUCCAAGGAGAGAUAUUUUGAUCAAGAAGUUCCUUUAAUUUAUUUUUAAUUAUAAUAAACUAUAUUAAUUUUUCCAUUUCAACUAUAUAUGGUAAUGAUUUGGAUCCUCAACCAUGAUCAACUUAUUGUUGUUAUUGUACGAGAAAAGUUAGGGGGAGACUUAAAAGAUAUCUUACUAGAAAUUAUAUACAAUGAUUUAAAUAUUUUUAAUUAAAAAUAUAAUUUUUUAUAGACUUUAAUGAUGAUAAAAGAUUCAUAUAUCUAAUCUCAAAUAAUUAAUAUCUUAUAAUUUUAUUGAUGUUGUUGAAUCAUGAUUUUACUGUUCAAAUUAUUGAAUCUCGGAUUUUGAUGAUAAAACCAAUUGAAAUUGUUUAUAAUUUGAUCUACGUUUUGAGUAACGCAUGAAGUUUUGAUAAGAGGAGAAAAUUAAAACAGGAAGAAUCAUAUUGGGCUGGAGAAAAAUAUGUCAAAAGAUUGGACGUCACGUCGAAGGAUCGAUUAACAUAUCGGUAAAAGGCUUUGGACCAUGGGUUCCGGCAUCGAGUCAAGAAGAGCAGAAAUUGCGCUGAGAAAAUCGUAGUUACGGAGGUCAGCUAGCCGAUUGGACAAUAGGUCACAAGAGAGGAUGAUGCACCGAAGAAUCAAACGAAGCGUUAAUGAACCAAUGAUAUGCCCGACAACAUUUGAUUCAAACUUUAUAAUAAUUGUCUAGAUCGAAGUAGGUUUUGAGUGUGCAGGAUUAACUACGAUAGCGAUCAAGUCAUAAAGCAAAAUAAAGUCUCAGAGUCAAGAACGAGACUUCGUUGGGAGUUCGAGAGUUUGUUCCGAACGUUUGUCGGAAGUUCUGUCAGAAUUGACCAAGAAAUCCAGAAGCUUGACAAAGAAGCUCGUCGCAACUCACCAAGAAGAUCGUCGUGAAGUCCAAACAUUACUGAGAGAUCAUCGGAAGUUCGUUAGAAGAAACCUAGACUUAUCGGACUUAUUUAGCUUAGUGUUUGCCUUAAAAUUCAUAGUUAGCACAUAAUUGGGUUGGAAUUGGGCCAAUUCAAUUAGGGGCCAAUUGGCCCAAGUUUGAGUUGUGUUGGGCCAAGUGAAAGACCCAAACAAUGACCCAACAAGUGGAAUCAUCAUGGCAUAGUCUCCGAAAUCGUAUCAAGCGAUGGUACCGCCCAGCACAGGUAAUGGUACGGUUAGGACUCGAAAAAUCUGAGAUGAGACCUUUUUAGACUCCAAGUUUAAAUCUACUUGAGGCUUAUAAAUACCCCUCUCAUCUCUAGUUAACAUACAUAAGCAUAGAGAGCUUAAAAGUGGAAAAAUACUAUUGCAAUCACUUGAGAGAUCCCCUCCUCUAAUUCUAAGUUUAGAAUUCUAUUUAGGGAGGAGUGAGUGUUUGUAAAAGGUUCUCCUAAACACGUGAAAAGGAGACGAGGGGUGUAAAAUGGUAGUUGAUAUUCGCCCAUUGAAGGAAGAUCGUUAAUGGAUGUCCGUGGCCUCGACGGAAGGGGAAUCGGUGAAGUAGAUGUAGGUCACGACGAUCGAACUAUUAUAAAAAUCUUAUUUAUAUUUAUUUUAUAUAAUUUACCUUUACUACAAACUAUAUUUCUAUACGUUUUCAAGUUAAACAUAUUAUAGAUACGGGCUUUGUCAUAUAUCGGAUUUAAUCGAACCUGGACUUGAUCCUAACACAAAUUUGAUACUUAACUCUCUUCGUAGAUAAAUAUUUAUAUAAUAAUCUAUUAGAGCAAAUGAUCUGAAUCUAAACCCAAUUCAAGUAAUUGAUUUAAGAUAUUUGAACAUAAUUAUUUUUCUAAUGCGGGCGUAUCUAAAAUUUGAUUAAAAAGUAAAUUAAUCCGAAUAAAAAAGGAAUAACAUAUCCUGUAACCCUCCCUCUCCAUCAAGAUGCGUGCGGCCAAUCCCAUACAAAUCGUCAUAUCGAUGGUAUUUGGAACACUGCACAGAUUUAACUGGUCAUCCCCACCACCGACCAGAUCUUGUCGGACUUCGUUUUCCACCGCUUGUGGACGCUUGAAUCACGCUCAUGUCGGUCAAAGUCAUCUUCGUUUACUCCGACUCACGAGAGAAAGGACUGCAGAACGAGCCGAGUCAAAAAAGACGGUAGAAUAUUUUUUGUCCUCCGGACCGAAAUCAUGAGCUACUUGGAAUUGAAUGAUACUUUUUGUUAGAAACGUGGCGGAGUUAAAUAAGAAUGAUGGAGGAAAAAGAUAAACUGUUAAUUUUAUUAUAUUUAAAUAUUUAAAUAUCUAUUCACAAUCACAUCAAAACUAUAUUCAUAAAAGAUAAAAACUAAGGAGUGAAUGCUAUUUUUCUAUUUGUAAGAUAUUUUGAUAAUUUUAUAGACAUAUCAAUAUUUAAGGAGAAGAUUUGUUUCUGAAAGAUCGAUAUCGUUUCCAAAAUGUAAAAUUCUACCUUCAUCCAAGAUUAUCAAUUUAGAUCAUCUUUGAUUAAAUUAAGCUUAGUCUCAAUACUUCCCAUUAAGGUUAAUUUUUCUUUCAUUCAAUGUACUAAGAAAUGACUUGGUAUAUAGAUAAAAUAAAAUUUUAAGUCUUGACAUCAACUUCAUUUGUAUUCAUGUACUCUCGGAUAAAAUAAAAUUUCAAGUUAUUAUGUUUUGUUUCUUUCGUGAUACACUAAGUUAUUUACUAGUGCAACGAGGGAUUUAUUAUCGAUAUAAAUUUAUAUUAUUUUUUAUUUGAUGUGUUUUGUCUUUAGCAAGCCUUUUAACCAUAUAGCAUGACAGAUGCCAUAAUAUAUUCAGUUUCACAAUUGAGAGAUAUAAAAUACAAAUAUGGAUGUGUUGCUUCAAAGCGUUUCUCCUCCCAAUUAUUAUCGGAAUAUUAAAAAAAUUAAAAUUAUUAGAACUUGAAUAAAAUAAUCAAUGGGAGAGAAUAUCUUUGAUAUAAUACAAAAUCUUUUUCAUAACUUUACAAUGAGUUGAUUUAGGCUCGUCUAUGAAUCAACUCACUAAUCCAACGUCAUAUAAAAUAUCUGAUCUAAUAUAUGUCAAAUAUCUUAAGCAGUAACUAAACUCUUAUAAAAAGUUACCGCUAUUGUUUUGCCUUCAUCAUCAUGACACUAUAAUCCAUAUUGGGUUGCAGACAGUCAACGAUUGCAGUCAGCUUCCACCAACGAUUGGAAAAGGAAAACGAAAGGGAAAUCACUAUGUACUUCCCGCUGCCAUAGACGAACCACUCAAUCAGUCUUUCCUUUCUCCUUAUUCUUCUCCUUGUAUAUAAGAGAAGGGACAGAGUUCUGGUAGCAAGAGCAGCAGCAACAUCAAAAAUAUCAUAUGGGGAAUCAUCACCGAGCUCGUUUCACCCUCAUGACCUCCUCCUUCAUCAUCAUCAUCAUCAUGUUUUGGUUGGCAGCAUUGCAGCCGGCAGAGGUGGACGCCGGGCGGCCGAUUCUGAGUAGGUGGGUCGACCCAGAUCCACAGUUGCCGUCGCUGCCUCAGGGUACCACUCUUCCGAGGUCUUCUCUGGACACUUGCCCCGGAUCCGCUUGCCGAAGGUCUGGUUGCGGCAAUGAUUGUCAGGCGCCUGUCAGCGAGCUGAAGCCUCCAGAUCGAAGGCAAAAUCCAUAUAAGACUACCGUGAAUCCACCCCCACGCCGACCAUAAGCCUCCAGUGGGCUUCCCAUGCAUCGUUGAAGUCGAUCGAGUAUAUGCAUGUUUCUGUUUUCUCAGCUUGCUUCUGUCCGCAGCAACAAAAAUAUUCCAAGACAAUAGAAGUUCCUAUUUUGUGCUCGAGUUUUGUCAAGGUUUCUUGGAUUACUGGGUGUGUUAGAUGUGCUUGUGCCAUCUAAUUCGAGUAUAUGCAUGUUCCUGUUUUCUCAGCUUGCUUCUGUCUGCAGUUUGUGCGGGUUUCUUGGAGUACGUGCGUGUUUUAGAUAUGCUUGUGCCAUCUAAUUCGUUUGCUAUUCUUCUUCUAUGUUCUUCGUGUGUUAGAUAUGCUUGGGCUUAGAUCUUCUUUCCUGGCAAUCAACUACGAUUUCAACAAGGAAAACAAGAGAAUCCUAGAUAGCUAGAAAGACGAGUUCUUGGGAUGAUGCUGCGGUUAUUAAUUUGCAGUACUUCAAGCAUAAGAUUCGAUUGUUGAGAAGAAAUACAUUUAAUUUAGCACAAUUUUGUACGAGGAAAAGACAGCGAAAAGUUUGAAUAAGAAAUGAAGGGUCGCUAUAAAUACAUCAUAGCAUGCAUGAUAGUACAAGUAACCUCUUUUAUCGACUCUAUCAAUCCUUACCUCUCUUUGUUUCAUCUCUAUUAUGCUGGACAUUGGCUGCUUUAUGAUUUGGAUUGGGUGGAUAAGCUGUUAAGACUUCUAAUAUGUACAUGUUCUGAGAAAUUUAAACUUAAUUAAAGGAGAAAAUUGAAAUCUUUCUUUUACGAACAGAUGGACAAAAGAAUUAUAACAUCUAGGGUUUGAAUACACACCAUGAUAAAAAAAUGACCAUGAAGAAAAAGAUUAUAUGGGUUAUAAGAAGUAGAGAGUCAAUAGUAAAUUUUAUAGGUUGUACAUGAUAAAAACUAUAUUGAUGCAUGUUGCUUCACAUUCUCUUUCUCUCUCUUUUCUUUUCUUAUCAGUGAAUACAUAAAGAUUUCUUGAAGGAUACAUACACAUGGGAUUGGAUAUUGAUGCAUAAUUAAAAAUUUAAGGCUUUUUAACCCUAACUAAUGUGAGAUUGUUCAUUUGGUUGUUUUAGAUCUUUAUCUUAUACAUGCAUGUUUUUCUAGCAUCAGAAUUGUUAGGAAUAUUUCUCAUACUACAAGGAAUAUUUAUUGUCCUGAGGUUAGUCUUUGCAUAUUUAUAAAAAAGUUUGGAACUUGCUUAGUUGCAUGAUUUCCUAAAUUAUGAUUCCCAAGCAUCUUUUUUUCUUGUGAAUCUGACUUGGUGGCUGUUGAUCGGCUAAGUUAGUCAACCAGAAGCCUCUGAGCUUAGAAGCUGGUAGGUAUACUCUCAACUAUCCAUGGAGAUGGAACUAAAAAUGUGGCUUCUUGCCAAACUAUGAAGAAGACUCGUCAUAAUCCACCGCCGAUCCGCGGUGGUUGGAACACUGCAAAAGAUUGUCUGGUAAUUAUCCAAUUCCAGACAAAUCUGAGGGCUGGAUUCUGUCGUAAUCUAGAAGAGCUCCUGUUUCUUACAGGCACGCUGCAGCCAAAAGUCAGUCUUCGUGUUUACUGCUUCCACUCACAAGUCAGUCCUCCACUACAAGCUGCAUUAUAAAAGGAGGAGGAAAGACAUGAAGCAGCAUCAACAGAGAUAUAAUCUUUAUUUGGAGAUUUCAAUAUAUGGGGUAUCAUCAUCACCCAGCUUCUUUCAGUCUCAUGUUCUCCUUCAUGGUCAUGUUUUGGCUGGUAGCCUUCCAGCCCGUGGAGGUGGACGCCGGAAGAGGAUUGAUUCAGUCGCUGCAACCAGGUUUAUGGUUGAAGUCGCUGUCUCAACAUUUUCUGAAGCCUCCCCAGAGUAGAUCCGGCUGCAGGUUCAAUCAGAAGUGUGAUCCCCGAGAUCCUGUCCGUGACAGUUGGCAUUCUAAACCAAGCCAAACCCCGUAUGGGACCUCGCUGAACCCACCACCACCCCGUCGAUAAGCUUCCUUCCUGCCUUCCUAUGUUGGCUUCCCAUGCAUGCAUCGUUGCAGUCGAUCGAGUCAGUCAUUCUGCCAGUAAGAAACCCCAGUCUCAGCUGUCUGGGUAUAUUUUUCUUUGUGUUCUCAGCUUGCUGCUCUGUGCACUACUUGAUAUAUAGUUGGCACAUCAAAACAAAUCUUCAAAGAGAAUAUAUCAUCUAAAGCUUUUAAAAAUUGAAGAUGCAUGGAAGCUUAAUUUGCCUCAUCCCUCUUCCUUCAUGGUGACGGUGGUGGUUCGGUUUUGACGUGACGUCGCCUCUUGAAUUAGUGCGCAUGCAUGGAAAAGGAAGAAUGAUUUGAGUUUGACCAUCUUCCACCGCAGAUGGUGCAGUGUUGACUGCAUGAGUCUUGGGAAUGAAGGCACUGUGACACAGUAUGAAGCAUCCGACGUUCAUUCUGACACUGAUGUCAGAAUGAAGGCACUGUUCCGACGUUUAAUUCUCGAUCGGCAUUAGUAGUAUUCAGCCACAAAACCCUGCACAGCUCGCAGAUGCAUGCAGCCCCUGGAUCGAUCGCCUCUUGACAUCUGCUGCUUGUUGGAGAUGUUCGCUCUCUCAUCGUGCAGAUUCAGAUGCAGAUCGUAUCUGUCUUGUAUAUACAUCUAGCACGAUAUUGCUUUCUUUAGAAUCAUUUGUUUCCUAACAUUUCCUUGGAAUUAGAAUUAAACUUAUAUUAUUUUUAGGAUCCUAUUAAAAAAACAAUAUGAUCCAUCCAAAAAUAGCAUAACUCAACUCCCAAUCUCUCAAAAAAAA
rnacentral:lncRNA from 1 species